AUUGAACGCUGGCGGCAUGCUUUACACAUGCAAGUCGAACGGCAGCACGGACUUCGGUCUGGUGGCGAGUGGCGAACGGGUGAGUAAUAUAUCGGAGCAUACCUUGUAGUGGGGGAUAACUAUCCGAAAGGAUAGCUAAUACCGCAUACGCUCUAAGGAGGAAAGCGGGGGAUCGUAAGACCUCGUGCUAUAAGAGUGGCCGAUAUCUGAUUAGCUAGUUGGUGAGGUAAAGGCUCACCAAGGCGACGAUCAGUAGCUAGUCUGAGAGGACGACCAGCCACACUGGAACUGAGACACGGUACAGACUCCUACGGGAGGCAGCAGUGGGGAAUUUUGGACAAUGGGGGCAACCCUGAUCCAGCAAUGCCGCGUGAGUGAAGAAGGCCUUCGGGUUGUAAAGCUCCUUUGUCAGGGAAGAAACGGUUGUGGCUAAUAUCCAUGGCUAAUGACGGUACCUGAAGAAUAAGCACCGGCUAACUACGUGCCAGCCGCCGCGGUAAGAC
rnacentral:rRNA from 1 species